CAGUAGCCGCGGGAAUACGGAGGGAGCUAGCGUUGUUCGGAAUUACUGGGCGUAAAGCGCGCGUAGGCGGUUACUCAAGUCAGAGGUGAAAGCCCGGGGCUCAACCCCGGAACUGCCUUUGAAACUAGGUGACUAGAAUCUUGGAGAGGUCAGUGGAAUUCCGAGUGUAGAGGUGGAAUUCGUAGAUAUUCGGAAGAGCACCAGUGGCGAAGGCGACUGACUGGACAAGUAUUGACGCUGAGGUGCGAAAGCGUGGGGAGCAAACAGGAUUAGAUACCCCAGUAGUCCCUGUCUCUUAUAC
rnacentral:rRNA from 1 species